rnacentral:tRNA from 1 species
AUAUAGCUCAGUGGUAGAGUGCUUGCCUAGCAUGCAUAAGGCCCUAGGUUUGAUCCCUAGCAU